rnacentral:rRNA from 1 species
UACGUAGGCAGCAAGCGUUGUUCGGAGUUACUGGGCGUAAAGGGUGCGUAGGCGGUCCUAUAAGUAUGGUGUGAAAUCUCCCGGCUUAACUGGGAGGGUGCGCUAUAGACUGUGGGACUAGAGUGUGGGAGAGGAAAGUGGAAUUCCUGGUGUAGCGGUGAAAUGCGUAGAUAUCAGGAGGAACACCGGUGGUGUAAACGGCUUUCUGGUCUGUAACUGACACUGAGGCGCGAAAGCGUGGGGAGCGAACAGG